rnacentral:rRNA from 1 species
CCUACGGGAGGCAGCAGUGGGGAAUAUUGGACAAUGGGCGAAAGCCUGAUCCAGCAAUGCCGCGUGAGUGAUGAAGGCCUUAGGGUCGUAAAGCUCUUUUACCAGGGAUGAUAAUGACAGUACCUGGAGAAUAAGCUCCGGCUAACUCCGUGCCAGCAGCCGCGGUAAUACGGAGGGAGCUAGCGUUGUUCGGAAUUACUGGGCGUAAAGCGUGCGUAGGCGGUUAUUCAAGUCAGAGGUGAAAGCCCGGGGCUCAACCCCGGAACGGCCUUUGAAACUAGAUAACUAGAAUCUUGGAGAGGUCAGUGGAAUUCCGAGUGUAGAGGUGAAAUUCGUAGAUAUUCGGAAGAACACCAGUGGCGAAGGCGACUGACUGGACAAGUAUUGACGCUGAGGUACGAAAGCGUGGGGAGCAAACAGAAUUAGAUACCCUGGUAGUCCACGCCGUAAACGAUGAUAACUAGCUGUCCGGACACUUGGUGUUUGGGUGGCGCAGCUAACGCAUUAAGUUAUCCGCCUGGGGAGUACGGUCGCAAGAUUAAAACUCAAAGGAAUUGACGG